AUCUUUCUUUGCGCCAAAAUCAAAAAUACAAAGUUAGGGAAUUUUGCCAAGUUUAUUUAUGUAUAAAGAAAUGUACAUUCGGACGACAUCUCAGUGACCAUGGAGAAAAUUAAUGCAGCGAAAGUAAAGAAAGCUACAGAUUUCCUUGAGAAAUGGAAGAAAUUUCAAGACGAAAAAGGUCAAAGGAGAGUAUCAUUGGCAACCAAACCCUCAUCUCAAGAUGGAAAUGAGCUUAAAAAGAAAGCAGGGAAGAAGGUUGUCACUUCACGAUACCUAAGUCACAAAACAGAGCCCAAUGUACCGAAGCAGACAACAGCCCAGACCAAACCAAGCAAUCCACAGAAGAGGAUAUCCAUCUUACCACAGCCGCGACCUAACGGAACACCCAUGAGCAUCAGAUUGGAACGAUGGAGAAAGCAGAAAGAAGGCCAAAAGGAAAAUAUCUUAACAGCUAGUAGUGCAAGAAAAAAGACACAGACACCAUUCAAAACAAACAAGAAAUAUACACAUGUGAAAUCAAAGAUAAUGACUGCAAGUACACAGAAACAUGUUGAAAAACAAAAUACAGGCCAAACAGAUUCUGUGAAAAAAAUGUUGACAUCUACCACGAAACACAACAAGACAUACAAAAUCCCAGGGGCAAAGUCCAAUGCAUCGAAAACAACCUCCUCCUCCCAGAUCAGGAAAAACCAUUCUACACCAGCUGUGAUUAAUAAGAAAAGCAAUGGCCAAGGACCUUCAGUGCAGCAUAAGUCGAAUCGUUUUCAGUUUAAGGUUAGUGAAGCAAAAAACAACAGAAGACAUUCAGACAGCCAAUCGCGAAAUACCAAAGCUACGCGGAGCAUUCUGAAGAGGAAGUCAUGUCUUCCCAGUUUGUCUGAUGAAAUGAUGCUGCCAGAGUCCGAGGCACUGAAAAUGCCAGGUCAUAAUGUCAGAUUUAUCUCCCCUAUCCUACCCCACCCCGAGCACCAGUCAUUCAGGAAAACCCCGAACCGGCUUGUUCACAGAUCUAUGAGGUCUGAGCUGGAAGAAUGGCUUAAGAAGAGAGGUAAAACCCCCAGUGGUUUCAGACAUCUGCGGUGCUUCGACGCCACAUUAUCAGCCAAGAAGAAGUCAAGCAACCCAGCAUGUAACACAGAAAAGGAGAGUGAGAAUGUUUCCAAGCCUCUCCGGUCAUCAGUUGUACUUAACCUGGAAGACCAGUUUUGUGUGGAGGAUUCAAUGAACGCCGAGGAUCCGGCUGAGGAGGACCUGGACUCCAUGCUGGAGGAGUGCUCUACCCUGUACGAGGCUGUAAGUACUCUGUGGUAAAGACCAGAGAUUCUGUUGACUCAUUGGCCUAACGUCUAGUUUUAUUUUUUUAAGUUUGCAUGUGUUUGGGACAAACUUUAGCUUUAAAUUUCUGAGUUUUUAAAGUUUAGUUUUGAAAAUAAUUUAGAAUCAGAGAACAUUUAGACAUUGAUGGUCCAUUUACAAAGAACAAUUUUAUCAGGUAAUUUCAGGCUGCCCACAGAAGGAAUAAUAAUAAAUGUAACCUAAAAUUCCUCUUUUUUUUUUCAAGGGUUGUCCCCUUGAGGAUACAAUGAAAUGGCUAGAUUCAAUUGAAGAGAAUAUCGAUAUAGCAAAAACAUCUGCCAGGUUUUACAUCUGUAAAGCCAGAAUUCUCAAGUCUACCAAUGACCUUGAGGAAGUCCUCCAUGUGUUUGAGAAAGCAGUUAAGAACUGUGCUCAGCCUGCUGAUGAAUUAGCAAUGUCCUUGACCCAGAUAAUCACAGAAAUCAGUCUAGAGCGGGAGAGAAAAGCUCGAUUAAAGAGUGCACUAACUAAGGAAGUAGAGGAUGGAAAUGUAUUUGACUCGAGUGCAAUUAAGUACUGUGUGAGACAGCUCACCCCACAUAAAAACAGGCUAUCUGGUGCCCACAAUGACCUUGAACCUUCACCCUGUAAAGUGGUGACCCCGGUACGUAGGUCAACUCGUCGCAGUCUGAGCGGUCUACCGGAACAACUCCAGGACCGGACUCCAGUCUACAGGGCGCUGGAGGACAUCCCCUCCCCUGACAGGAAGAGUACUCUGUUCCUGUCCAACCCCGCACUGGGAUACCUCUUGGAUGAGGAAGGGGCCUUGUGAACUGUUAUUGUUAUAAACCUGUGUUUUUACUGCACGGAGAAAUAUUACCAUGGAGCUUUUGUAUCUCUCAUUGCUACAUGUAUAGUGGAUUCAUAAAUUAUGAGGAGAGUUUUUUUAUACUCGCAGAAUAUUUAUAAAUAAUAUGGUAUGGUAUGCCCCCUAAAUCAUUUAUCUUUGUGAAAACAAUAUUCUGACUGAAAUUCAUGCUUUCUUCUUAUUUUGAACUUUGUUUUAUAUAUAUAUAUUUUUUUAAUUUUAGCUAUUUAGUAUUUUUUUUAAAAAAACCAACAUUUUUUCCAGAUCAUUAGUAAACUAAUUAAGUACAGUACUGUGUAAUGGUCAAUCUUUAUACAAUCUUGUAAUGAGACAAAAUAGAAUUUGCUUUAUUUAUUUAUGUAUGCUAAGUUUUUUCUCUAAUAAAGCUUUUAACUGGC
rnacentral:misc_RNA from 1 species